UGUUAUGGCGUCUGUGCGUGGGGGACCUUUGAAUCUGCCGGGGACCUGCAUGCCCGGUCCGUCAACCUGCGUACAGCUGCCACACUC
rnacentral:antisense_RNA from 1 species